rnacentral:rRNA from 1 species
GGGUGCGAUCAUACCAGCACUAAUGCACCGGAUCCCAUCAGAACUCCGAAGUUAAGCGUGCUUGGGCGAGAAUAGUUCUAAGAUGGGCUUGUCGUAUGAUUUUCAUAGACAGUCUAGUGGCAUGACAC